AAAAAGCACACUUAAACUAGCGCAAGCAAAGGAGUAUUUACUAUAAAGAUAUACAGGACAUGGUAAGGGAUCCUGAAAUGCAAAUACAGGAAUUGUAAAUGGAUGUCAAUACAUUAUAGGAAAGGUUCAGAGUUCAGGCUCUCAAAGGAGACUGCAAAGGUUAGUCUUUGGGAGGCAUCAUUUGCUCACUCUACGGCCUUAAGAAACAGUUUAACUUUUCUGUGCCUUGAUAUGUAGAGUGGUGUUCCCAUAUGUAGAGUAGACUGUGGUCCCAACCUCUUAAAGUAGUUGGGAAGAUAAAAUGAGUUAAUCCUUGUGGACCAUUUGGAAUACUACCUGACACAGGAUUCACUCGCAAUUGACAACAGUAAGAAGUGCAAGUGAAAAGAUGUGAAGUAACAAGAAGUAACAGAAACAAAACAUAAUCAGCAAAAUGCAGAAAACAACUGAUGGCUGAAACUGGAUCCCUUCCUUACACCUUAUACAAAAAUUAAUUCAAGAUGGAUUAAAGACUUAAAUGUUAGACCUAAAACCAUAAAAACCCUAGAAGAAAACCUAGGCAAUACCAUUCAGGACAUAGGCAUGGGCAAGGACUUCAUGUCUAAAACACCAAAAGCAAUGGCAACAAAAACCAAAAUUGACAAAUGGGAUCUAAUUAAACUAAAGAGCUUCUGCACAGCAAAAGAAACUACCAUCAGAGUGAACAGGCAACCUACAGAAUGGGAGAAAAUUUUUGCAACCUACUCAUCUGACAAAGGGCUAAUAUCCAGAAUCUACAAUGAACUCAAAGAAAUUUACAAGAAAAAAAAAACCUAUCAAAAAGUGGGCGAAGGAUAUGAACAGACACUUCUCAAAAGAAGAC
rnacentral:lncRNA from 10 species